GCUAAUGGUCUAAGGGUUAUGAUUUCCGCUUAGGGUGCGGGAGGUUCCCGGUUCGAUCAAGCCCACCUGGGAGCG